rnacentral:rRNA from 1 species
UACGUAGGGCGCAAGCGUUGUCCGGAAUUAUUGGGCGUAAAGAGCUCGUAGGCGGCUUGUCACGUCGGGUGUGAAAGCUCGGGGCUUAACCCCGGGUCUGCAUUCGAUACGGGCUGGCUGGAGUGUGGUAGGGGAGAUCGGAAUUCCUGGUGUAGCGGUGAAAUGCGCAGAUAUCAGGAGGAACACCGGUGGCGAAGGCGGCCUGCUGGGACAUUGCUGACGCUGAGGCGCGACAGCGUGGGGAGCAAACAGG